rfam:Triticum urartu cultivar G1812 contig1172863, whole genome shotgun sequence.
AUUGUACUCCCUCCGUCCGAAAAUACUUGUCAUCAAAAUGAAUAAAAGGAGAUGUAUCUAAAUGUAUUUUAGUUUUAGAUACAUUCUCUUUUAUCUAUUUUGAUGACAAGUGUUUUCGGACGGAGGAAGUACAUC